rnacentral:rRNA from 1 species
GUUGGUUCUACCCGAAGGUGGUGCGCUAACCGCAAGGAAAGCGCUUACCACGGUAUGUUUCAUGACUGGGGUGAAGUCGUAACAAGGUAGCCGUAGGUGAACCUGCAGAAGGAUCA